rnacentral:rRNA from 1 species
CGUGGGGGAAGAAGGCUCUUUGGGUUGUAAACUCCUUUUCUCUGGGAAGAACAAAAUGACGGUACCAGAGGAAUCAGCAUCGGCUAACUCCGUGCCAGCAGCCGCGGUAAGACGGAGGAUGCAAGCGUUAUCCGGAAUGAUUGGGCGUAAAGCGUCCGCAGGUGGCAGUUCAAGUCUGCUGUCAAAGACCGGGGCUUAACCUCGGAAAGGCAGUGGAAACUGAACAGCUAGAGUAUGGUAGGGGCAAAGGGAAUUCCUGGUGUAGCGGUGAAAUGCGUAGAGAUCAGGAAGAACAUCGGUGGCGAAGGCGCUUUGCUGGACCAUAACUGACACUCAGGGACGAAAGCUAGGGGAGCGAAUGGGAUUAGAUACCACCAGUAGUCAAAAAGAUUA